rnacentral:rRNA from 1 species
GAUGAACGCUGGCGGCGUGCCUAACACAUGCAAGUCGAGCGGACCAAUGUUCAUUUCAGCUUUGCUGAUUUGAGCAACGGUUAGCGGCGGACGGGUGAGUAACGCGUGGGCAACCUGCCCUGUGCAGGGGGAUAACACAGCGAAAGCUGUGCUAAUACCCCAUAAGACUACGCUAUCGCAUGAUAGAGUAGUCAAAGCUUUAGCGGCACAGGAUGGGCCCGCGUCUGAUUAGCUAGUUGGUGGGGUAACGGCCUACCAAGGCGACGAUCAGUAGCCGACCUGAGAGGGGGAUCGGCCACACUGGAACUGAGACACGGUCCAGACUCCUACGGGAGGCAGCAGUGGGGAAUAUUGCACAAUGGGGGAAACCCUGAUGCAGCAACGCCGCGUGAGCGAAGAAGGCCUUCGGGUCGUAAAGCUCUGUCCUAAGGGAAGAAGUAUGACGGUACCUUAGGAGGAAGCCCCGGCUAACUACGUGCCAGCAGCCGCGGUAAUACGUAGGGGGCGAGCGUUAUCCGGAAUCACUGGGCGUAAAGGGUGCGUAGGCGGCCGAGUAAGCCAGAGGUGAAAGGCUACGGCUUAACCGUAGUAAGCCUUUGGAACUACUUGGCUUGAGUGCAGGAGAGGAGAGUGGAAUUCCUAGUGUAGCGGUGAAAUGCGUAGAUAUUAGGAGGAACACCAGUGGCGAAGGCGACUCUCUGGACUGUAACUGACGCUGAGGCACGAAAGCGUGGGGGAGCAAACAGGAUUAGAUACCCUGGUAGUCCACGCCGUAAACGAUGAGUGCUAGGUGUCGGGGGUUCACACCCUCGGUGCCGGAGUUAACGCAAUAAGCACUCCGCCUGGGG